GACGAACGCUGGCGGCGUGCUUAACACAUGCAAGUCGAACGGAAAGGCCCUGCUUGCAGGGUACUCGAGUGGCGAACGGGUGAGUAACACGUGGGUGAUCUGCCCUGCACUUCGGGAUAAGCCUGGGAAACUGGGUCUAAUACCGGAUAGGAGCCAUUUUUAGUGUGAUGGUUGGAAAGUUUUUUCGGUGUAGGAUGAGCUCGCGGCCUAUCAGCUUGUUGGUGGGGUAAUGGCCUACCAAGGCGGCGACGGGUAGCCGGCCUGAGAGGGUGGACGGCCACAUUGGGACUGAGGUACGGCCCAGCCUCCUACGGGUGGCAGCAGUGGGGAAGAUUGCACAAUGGGCGCAAGCCUGAUGCAGCGACGCCGCGUGGGGGAUGACGGCCUUCGGGUUGUAAACUCCUUUCGCUAGGGACGAAGCUUUUUGUGACGGUACCUAGAUAAGAAGCACCGGCUAACUACGUG
rnacentral:rRNA from 1 species